CGGAACGGGUGAGUAACGCGUGAGGAACCUGCCUCAAAGAGGGGGACAACAGUUGGAAACGACUGCUAAUACCGCAUAAGCCCACGGCUCGGCAUCGAGCAGAGGGAAAGGGAGCAAUCCGCUUUGAGAUGGCCUCGCGUCCGAUUAGCUAGUUGGUGAGGUAACGGCCCACCAAGGCGACGAUCGGUAGCCGGACUGGGAGGUUGAACGGCCACAUUGGGACUGAGACACGGCCCAG
rnacentral:rRNA from 1 species